UAGGGAUCGACCGAUACCGUUUUUUUAGGGCCGAUACCGAUACCGAUAUUUUUUCAUCAGCCUUAGCCGAUACGCCGAUACCGACUUUCUUGAGCCGUUUUUUUUUUUUUUUUUUUUUUAAAGAAACAUUUAUUGAACUUCAAUAUAAAAAACAAUAUUUAACAAAUAGUAAAAACAGGUGAGGUAGAACAAGUAAAAAAAAAAAAAAAAAAAAAAAAAGAA